CCCCUGCUAGCUGGUUCACCACACACUGAUUGAUCGUGUUUAUACCCCGAUAAAAUGUUUGUUGAAUCAUUGCAUCAGUUAUAUCAUUGUUGGGGCAUUCCUUGACCAUAAUUCUAUAUCGAUCCCAGAUUUCGUGAAGGGGCUCAUUUGGUUCCUAUUUGAAUGCUAAGAUUUCAUCCUGCAACGCCUCCAUAUGUCCCGGUGAGAAAAACUUGGCUAUGAACUUAUCGGCCAACUCAUCCUAUGUAGUGAUAGAAUGGUUGGGAAGCCUCUCGAGCUAGUCCAGUGCCUUCCCUCUAAGUGAAAAAGGGAAUAAUCUCAACCGCAAUGCAUCCUCUGACACAUUUGUUUGCGUGCUUCCCCAACACGUAUCCACAAAACCCUUGAGAUGUUUAUAUGCAUUCUGAUGGGAAGCACCUAAGAUUUCAUCCUGCAACGCCUCCAUAUGUCCCGGUGAGAAAAACUUGGCUAUGAACUUA
rnacentral:lncRNA from 1 species